AUGUAAUAUAAAGAUGUUUUAAAUUGGUAAUGUAUUAUUAGCCCCAAACUUAAUUAAAGGGAAAAAUAUAAAAUUAUUUGCAGACUUUAUUAAUGAUCCAUGUAAGCGGUAUUAAUUUAAUAGUUAUGAGGUUCAAACAAGUACCAAUUAAACACGUAUUCCCUCAGUGUAUCAACCAGUAUCUAUCGGCUACGUAGAACACUGAAGCAACAGCAACAACAUGACACGAGUGGACGGCGAGCAAACAGAGAACAACGCACACUCUCCGCCGCACACACACAGAUACUAACACGGACACACACCAAUGCGCCAAUACAAACACACACAGCUGGCUGCUCAACAGCAGGGAACUUUUUAUUGUUGUUGCUGGCAACGAACAACAAAUAAGACAAACAAUGCACACGCACACGAAUGACGAGUGUUUUCGAGUCGGAGAAACGGCAACUGCGCGGUACGAAAUGCAAAGAUACAGAUACAAUGAGUUGGUUGUCGGUUGUGGAGGGUAGGAAAGGGACACAGGCCAACAAAAAUAGUUGCACUGCAUCAAGAGUGUUGCCUGUCGUUAGAGGCUAGUCACCCACCCCGAAAGGAUCUCUCAAAGGAUCAGCGGACUACUAGGUAAUCCUGAUCG
ensembl:ncRNA lncRNA:CR44149 long non-coding RNA:CR44149